rnacentral:piRNA from 1 species
UAGGUGUGUUGAUCAAUAUCAGGCUUCAAC